rnacentral:rRNA from 1 species
UACGAAGGGUGCAAACGUUGCUCGGAAUCAUUGGGCGUAAAGCGCACGUAGGCGGCUUUGUAAGUCGGAUGUGAAAUCCCACAGCUUAACUGUGGACGUGCAUUCGAAACUGCAUGGCUCGAGUAUGGAAGAGGGUCGCAGAAUUCCCGGUGUAGAGGUGAAAUUCGUAGAUAUCGGGAGGAAUACCAGUGGCGAAGGCGAGUCCCUGGACAUUUCCUGACACUGAGGCACGAAAGCUAGGGGAGCAAACAGG